UACGGAGGAUGCAAGCGUUAUCCGGAAUGAUUGGGCGUAAAGCGUCCGCAGGUGGCUAUGUAAGUCUGCUGUUAAAGAGUGAGGCUCAACCUCAUAAGAGCAGUGGAAACUACAUGGCUAGAGUGCGUUCGGGGCAGAGGGAAUUCCUGGUGUAGCGGUGAAAUGCGUAGAUAUCUGGAGGAACACCGGUGGCGAAGGCGGCAUCCUGGACCAAUACUGACGCUGAGGAGCGAAAGCCAGGGGAGCAAACGGG
rnacentral:rRNA from 1 species